rnacentral:lncRNA from 1 species
UUAAAAAAAAAACCACUUGCAUUAUUUUCCUGAUCAGUUUCUCUUUAUCUUUGAAGCAUGAAAUGUGUUUACAGUUGAAGAGGUGGAAUCCUUUUUGAAGUUCACUGCUUGAGUAUCAUAAUCGAACCCUGAUCGUUGUUGCAAGUAAUCAGCUGUGGGCGGCUGAAACUCGGACCUGGUGCGGCGGUGUGAAGAACCCUCUGCCGCCACAGACCCGUCUAGGAGAUGGUAGCUGGCGGAGAGGGAGCGGUAGCUGUUGUGCAGCCUGUGCUUCUUCAUGGCAUGCAUCACAUAUGGUUCUUCCCUGGUGUUCUAGGGUUUGGAUUGGCUUGAUCUUGGGAAUAUUAGUUCAGAUCUGUUCACUGAAACCCUAUCUUAGGGUUUCUUGGGUUGUGUGAGAGUUCGUUUACUGCUGGUGUUCAUACUGCGUUGGUCUCUAAAACCCUUGAAGGUUUUAGGGCAAACUAACCUGUGUGACACUUGGUUUUCUGCAUAUCAGGUUUAGUAGUUCUUGAAAACUACGAAUCUGAUAUAUAUUCAAGGAAUUGCACCCUCUGUAAGAUCGUUCUAUCCUAUCUUGUUUUUUCUGUUGUUGGAUAGUUGAAGUCGGGGUAGUUUGGACCGGCACAUAUUUGUAUUGUUUGUUUUGUUUUUGUUUGGUUGUUGUUAGCUUUUGUUCUGCUAUUAGGGUUCGGCUCCUGA